ensembl:lncRNA
CACAGUCUGAGAGAUUCAGCAGCCAUUGUGGGUAGUACUUAUCAUGAUUACAUAAAGGGACUUCCAGGAAACAUUAGAAGUGUUGCAGAAGCCCUGUUUCACUGUCAAAUUUAAAUCAUCCCAGUUGUUGCUCACUGGGAAUAAAAAUACAUACAACUGCCUGUUUUACUGCAGUACUGAAGUAAUUCAACCUUUAACAGCAUUAGAAAACCCCAGUAACAGGCUGUGACUGGAUACUUGUAUUGCUGUAAACACAGUGCCAGCAAUAUCAGGAAAGCUUAGAUUCUACAAUUUAUUAGUCGUCCUUACACUCGCUCUAUUGAUUGCACCUUUAAGACCGUCUAAGUCUUUAAAUGUGUGUUUGUUGAAAGUAAAAUCAUUCACUGCAGGGCAGUCCACUCAGUCAAACCUGUUCGACCUGAAGACACACCUGCCUGGUUCCUGAGGCAGGCAGACAUUAACAGCGACUCAUUGUUGUUCACCAGAGUGAGUCUGUUCACUGCACUCCUCUAAAAAAAGUCCACUUCACAAAGACGGGAGACUCAACCUGACAGAGAGGCGACUCUGAAAGCAAAGGCAGGAAUCAUGGGGAAAGGCGCGAGCGAGGAGUGGGAUGAAAAGCACCACGACACGAGGCAAACCCAGCCCCGGAAACACGAGGAGACGGAGAGCAGGAGCUCCGGGAGCAGCUGCCCCAAAUGCUGCCUGAAGACCCGGGACUGCCUGAUGAGUCCGGAGUGCGGCCGGGCGCUGCAGAUCUCCAGCGUGGUCGCCAUGUGUGGAAUGUGUAUCCGUUGGUUCAUAUAACCAAGGCUUGGACAGCAGCAGCAAUUUUUCUGUGUUUUCCUUGCACAGGAGUCAAGCUGUGUGGUUUUUCUUCCAAUCUAAAGUGGGAAAAUACUCUGUUUCAUUGAUUUGAAGUUCUCUUUAAUCCUAUAUCUGCAAGCUAAUCAACAGAAAUAGAUGUGUUUCUUAGAAGAUGUGUACAUAAACCCAACUAAAAUGGAAAUAUUCCUCUGAAUUCAUCAUUUUAGUGUUUGUGCCAUGCAGAUGUUGUAUAUUUAUAUUUGACAUGUUAUUAAAAAAAUAAAUGAAACUGACUGUGUGUGGAAGAAUAAAUGCCAACAGCCCAAAUAAUAAUCUUUUCUUUUAGGAAAAAUAAAGAUG